UCCGAAAGGUGACCGACCCUUCGGGGAGCCAUUUACAGGUGUUGCAUGGCUGUCGUCAGCUCGUGUCGUGAGAUGUUCGGUUAAGUCCGCUAACGAGCGCAACCCUCGCUGUGUGUUAUAUGUGUCACACAGGACUGCUGGUAUUAAGCCGGAGGAAGUGGGACGACGUCAAGUCAGCAUGACCUUUAUAUCCAGGGCUACACACACGCUACAAUGGUCAGUACAAUGGGUUGCCAAGCCGCGAGGCGGAGCCAAUCCUAAAAAGCUGGCCUCAGUUCAGAUUGCAGUCUGAAACUCGACUGCAUGAAGUCGGAGUUGCUAGUAAACGCAGGUCAGCUAUACUGCGUUGAAUACGUUCCCGGGGCUU
rnacentral:rRNA from 1 species